rnacentral:rRNA from 1 species
AACGUAGGAGACAAACGUUAUCCGGAGUUACUGGGCGUAAAGGGCGUGUAGGCGGUUUAUUAAGUUCGUCGUGAAAUAGCUCGGCUUAACCGGGCGGGGUCGAUGGAUACUGGUAGACUUGAGGACGGUAGAGGCGUGUGGAAUUCCGGGUGUAGUGGUGAAAUGCGUAGAUAUCCGGAGGAACACCAGUGGCGAAGGCGACACGCUGGGCCGUACCUGACGCUAAAGCGCGACAGCAUGGGGAGCGAACGGG